UUGAGGUGAGGUAUCCUCGAGUAGGUUGAAGUCUUGUAGAGUGUAUAUCUACGAGCAAGUGUAACGGUUUGUUAGGCGCCCGUAAGCUUAACGGAGUUAGUGUAAACUCGAGAGAGUCUCUCGGGAGACUGGACUAACCACACGUAGUGAACCAGUAUAAACUCGGUAUGUCCUCUCCUUACUCUUUUAAUUACUGCACUUACUUUACUCCUGCAAUUUUAAUUCCGCAAAAUUUAUUGACAUUCUCGUGCCUCACUAGUCACCCCCCCUUCUAGUGACGGGCAUAAAUCCUAACACUCAUCUCACUUUUCUGCACAGCCCUGGCUUCAUACACUUCCUCUAAAUCACAUAACCUCUUGGCGAUUUCAAGGGCAGUAGGGAGGGAGUCCAUGCAUGGCCACCUUUUCCUAGUAUAGUCAUCAAACCCUUCAGAGAGUAUGUCCAGAAUCUCUCCCAGUUUCUCAGCAUCAAACUGCACUAGAACUCCCUUCACCAGGCUACUAACAACAUCCUUAACAACAAUAUUUGCCAUAAAUUCAAUCAGCUCAUUUUCGGCUAGCCUACCACCCAUCUGAAGGACCGUAUCCUUCCGUCCCUUAGUAGCUAAAGAAUUUACUAAUCUCAUCAUCCCUAGUUCUACUAGGUCCUUCAACAAUCUACCUUUUAAAUUCUUUAUUCUGCCAAAGAUGGCAACCUUGUCUUGUUCCUUCUCAGAUUCAUUUUCUUCUUCUUCUCCACUCCAGUCAUCAUCAUCAGAAACUUUUGUUUGUUUAGCUUUAAAUGUGGGUUCAUCCUCUUGGCUAGUGUGGGUUCAACAUCCACAAGCAUAGAGGAAGACUUCUUGGAGGAAGUCUUGGGCUUUUUAGGCUUGGAUGUAGGAACCUCCACUAUUGUACCCCUUUCUUGAUGGCCAGUUCCAUCUCAUCUUCCUCAACAACCUCUGAGGAUUCUGCAAUAUUUCUCUUUCCCUUAUCCAUUUUCUUUUCUUACUUUCUUCUAAGGCUUUUUGUAAAUCAGCUUCAUUCUAUUUUACCUUGAUUCUUGUGGCUCUACCCCUAGGCACCGAAGAGGCAGUAGGUGUUGGGGAUGAGGCUUUAUUUUCUUGGAUGGCUUGGGAACAUUUGAGGCUUUUGGUGUGGGAGCUCUGCAUUUCUUUGGGUCAUAACUUGCCCCAGCCUUUUCAGUAGAUCAUCCAAGGUUUCUUCAGUAAACAUGUUCAUCUCUUUGUUUGCUCAUAUGAACCAACCCUUGAGCAGCUUCCCAGAACCACUUCCCCCUGAUUUCAUGCCACUCUCUUCUAACCUCUCUUGUGCAACCCACAUAUAGCAAGAACUGCUCCCUUCCCAUUUCCCCUAUCUUCACCACAUGUAUCCUCUCUCUUUUUUUCUUUUUCAGAAUUCAUUUUUCCUCCACUCCUACUUAUCUCAGGCAACUUAACAUCCCUAAUGGGCCCAACCAGAACAAACCUAGUCUCUAAGUUUUCAAUCAUAGAUGAACUUACCUCAGUAGGGGAUUCUUGAGUCUUCUUAGAGUUAGAAGACCCUCCUCUCAGUCGUUGAUUGGAAGGAUUUCGACCUAGGGCUGGAGUCGAAAUUUUGAGCUGGUCUUUCUUUCGCUUGACUUGCUUUCAAUCUAUCAUUUAAAGCCUUCCUCAGAGCCCCAGAUGCUACAGUCUUUCAAGCAAGCAUUUUCUGCCUUCGUAGCCUAGGUUUUGGAGAUACACUGGCUGGAGUAGUUGAGGAUGAAUUUGCGGGAGAUGGUGGUGGAGAAGUGCCAGGAUGAUCUUGUGGGUUAGACAUG
rnacentral:lncRNA from 1 species